AUUGAACGCUGGCGGCGUGCCUAACACAUGCAAGUCGAGCGGUAACAGGUGUAGCAAUACAUGCUGACGAGCGGCGGACGGGUGAGUAACGCUUGGGAAUCUGCCUAUUAGUGGGGGACAACCCGGGGAAACUCGGGCUAAUACCGCAUACGCUCUACGGAGGAAAGCCGGGGACCGCAAGGCCUGGCGCUAAUAGAUGAGCCCAAGUCGGAUUAGCUAGUUGGUAGGGUAAUGGCCUACCAAGGCGACGAUCCGUAACUGGUCUGAGAGGACGACCAGUCACACCGGAACUGAGACACGGUCCGGACUCCUACGGGAGGCAGCAGGUGGGGAAUAUUGGACAAUGGGCGAAAGCCUGAUCCAGCGACGCCGCGUGGGUGAAGAAGGCCUGC
rnacentral:rRNA from 1 species